CAUGCCAAUCAGCCUACCAUGCACGUCUUUGGACUGGGGGAGGAAACCCCUGCAGCACGGGGAGAACAUGCAAACUCCGCACACACAGGGGCAUGGUGGGAAUCGAACCCUCAACCCUGGAGCAUUUAACCGACCCCUCAGAACAAUAACAACCAGAAUGCUACAGCACAACAACAACAAUAACUACCCUUGCCUGGACGUGGCUCAUAGAGAGCUGCUCCAUGGUUGCAGGCGAAAUGGUACUACGUUCAGCAGUGCCCUCGGAUUUGGUGCAAUCCCACUAAUUAAAGGUCUUAGGGCUUGGGCAGUAAGUGGAGGAUAUUCAAGAAGUAAGAGAAAAGCUGCAGCUACUUCUCAAGCAUCUGACACAGCUCAUGAGAGCAGAAUUGGGACCAACCAUAGGAAGACACAUUCAUUUCAUACACCUGGGGUCAGGCAAGGAGGACUUGGUGCCCUAGUGACUGUGGCCACAUUGAAGGACUCAGAUGGAGGCAGGCAAACCCAGACUCGAUGCCUCUUUCUCAAAGCCGAAGGAUGUAAUUACCUCUGUGCUAUGGGGACCAGAGUGGAUGGAAGAAAAUCUGGAAAAGGGAGUCAGGGUGUGGGAAUUUGUGAUGGCAAACCUGUCAGAAAGUGGAGAAAGUCUAGCAAGAGACCUAAAUCCAUGGAGAACAUCUCAGUAGUCGAGAAUAAAGAGCGGGAGGCCUCUACAAAACUGGAGCUUUUGGACAAAUGUUCCAUAACACAGUGCCUACAGGCAAAAAGUGCCCUGACAGCGAUUAACAAUGAUGAAGAUCAUCUAAGAUUCAUAAGGUCAGAGUUUUCUACUCUGCAUGAGUUGUGUGAACCAGCCAUGUGCAGCCUCUCUACCAAAUAUGAUUCUAGUACAGAAGUGAAGGAAGACACAACACUAACCUCUUGCCCUAAACUCAGUGGUUGUGAGAUUUUUGUGGGACAAGACACACCCAUUUCUACCAGUGACUGUACCGAUAAGACCACAGAAAUCAGUAAACAUGAAAGUGAUCUUACAGCUGAUGUGAAUCUGAAUUAUGUUUUGAAAUCCAAGGAAAUUGCUAUGCCAAACUCUGAAGAGCAUUGUCCAGGAUCUAGAGUAGUUAUGCAUAACAAAAAUGGAAUCUCAUCCACCAUUAGCCAUAGCCACUGCAACACCACAGACACCAUUAAAUAUGACAUUGAAAUUUUAGCAGAUAGAAAUCUGAAUAAAUCCAAUGAAUUUGCUUUGGUGAAAUUUAAACAGCAUGGUCUACAGUCUGAAGUACUUUCAGAGGACACCAGUAAGACAAAUGGAACUUCGUUAACCAUUAGUCACAGCCACUUUGAGGAGACUAUCAUAACCCCUGCAUCCAGCAUCCAUUCAGAUGAUACUUUAUUAACGAUUAUGCAAGUGGAACAGGAGAUAAAGAAGAGAACAGUUGACAGUUCCUUUAAUCAUGAUAUGGAGAAGAUUGUCCAUUUUGGUGAAAUGAAGAAAGACAUGGAUAGUGCCUCCAAUCAGUAUGUGGGUCACUUAAGUGAACAAGCAGAGGAGCACUGGAGGUCACCUGCGUGUUCUUCUCAUCAUAAGGAGGAAAUAAUCAUGGAAGAAAAUAUUACAUUUGAGGAUGGAAAAAAAUUAAACUCCACAAAUGAGACUUUUGAAGAGCUUGCUAAUUCUUUAUCACAAGGUUCUGGCUCUUUCAAUGUUGCUAAUGCUAUUACAUCCCUGCCUAAUCCGGCCCCCACCACAAACACAGCUGCCCUCAGAUCCAUAAGUAGGCAGCAACAGGAGGGGACCAAGGGUAGGAGAUUAGCACUAAAACCAGCAUUGGAGCUGUUAGAAAAGCAGGAGAGAGACCAGGAAGUGGACAAAGUGGCUGACGAUGGGCCUGAUGUGGUGGAUGAGGAAGAUGGGGAUGAGUUUGGAGUCUUUAUGAAGGCAGGAGAUGAGCAGGUCUGGAAUGAAGGAUUCAACAAACUCAAAAAAGUGCCUUGUGAGAAGCAUGCUGGCAUUGGUGAGUGAGUAUAACAAAUUUAUUGUAGGCUAGCUCCUGUAGUGUUCAUUACUUG
ensembl:lncRNA